GGAAGGGAGAUGGGGGGUGCCAGUUGCCCCUGGCUUCCAGGUGGCCAGAAUCAAUGGCUUAGCUCACACGUCUGGCCCCGGGCCCAGCCCUGGCUGCCUCCCUACUAUUCUUAGCAGCGAUGAUGACACACCUGUCAUCGGGAGCUGUCCCCUCCCUUCCCUGGGCGGGCGGUUUCCAGACCCUGCUCACCUCCCUCGGCAAGCAGAGAGGAGUAGCCCAGCUGGUGGAGCCAGGAUGUGGCUGCCCAGCCUGGGAUCUUGGGAACAUCUUUGGAGCCUCAGCCCCAACCUGCUGCUGUCCAGACGUGUCACUCAGACUGGGGUGGCUUUCCACGUCACGGACGCGCUCGACAUGGGGCAUCCUCUGCCCUGCCAGCCACCCGCAUCGGGCCCCUGCUCUUGCCAAGACGCAGUUAAAGUGCACUUCUGGGGGCUCUGACAGAGAGUUCCACACUUACCCUGCCUCUGCUUUCUGUGGCCCCAACUAAGUCAUCCAUCCUGCCCCACCCCGGAAGUCCCUCUUUGUCCUGCCCUGGAGGUGUUCAGUGGGUAUUUAAUGGUGCUGGCAAGCACAAACCUGAGUCUGUACUGUGACAAAAUAUCCCAGACCCUGGCAUUUCCUUCGAGGAGCUGAGAACUUAGUGCACACACAAACCUGUGCUCGAGUGGAUUUAUCCAGAAUCUCUGAAACUCAGACACACUGAGAGGCCCUUCAGUAACAGAUGGGUGAACAAACAGAAGGGGCAUCAGCGUCACUGAAUUAUUCACUGAUAAAAAGAAGAGAACUUACCAAGGUGUGAAAAGAUGUGGAGGAAGGCUGCGGUGUAGCUCAGUGGCAGUGUUUUCCUAGCAUGUGUGAGGCUUUGGGUUCAAUUCCCAGGAUCACCAAAUAAACAAAUAAAUAACCAACUAAGAGACAUGAGAAACCCCAUGUGCAUUUUUUUUCCAUGCUGGGAGAUUUAACUUAGGGCCUUUGCACUGAGCUACACCCCCCAGCCCUUUUUUAUUUUAUUUUGAAAGAGGGUCUCACCGAG
rnacentral:lncRNA from 1 species